rnacentral:lncRNA from 10 species
AAACAGUCAUCCCUCUUAGCCUGUCCUCGGUAGUCAUCACACAGUAUUGCUAUUGUCCAGGGGUUGGAGUCUGAGGCUGAGGCUGAAUCGGAAAGUUGGUUUUAGUAUCCCAGCAAGGCCAGGGAAAAUAAAUUCCCGAGCGAGAAUAUGGCUCGACGUCAAGCAGCUGGAGAACCGGCCCGUGAACAGGAUCCAGGGGCAGAUUAUUUGGACAAAUGAAAUUAUACCAUGAAGUACUUGUAAUUGACAAUAUUAUACAAAUAAUGUCAGAAUGAAGUACUGACAUAUGCUACAACGUGGAAGAACCCUGGAAACAUGGCCGACUCAGGAACUGAGAAGUUGAAACAAUAAGUUGAAUGGGAUCAGGUAGUGCCAACUAGACUGAUUUAGAGGACGUGAGUUUGAAUCCCAACUUUGCUUAUUAGCCGAGUGGACUAAAUGAGGAACAUUUUUGAUUGUGAAUACUGGUUAUAACCUUUCUCAGUACCCAGUGACCAUGAUUAUUACUG